AACGAGCGCUGGCGGCGUGCCUAAUACAUGCAAGUCGAGCGAAUGGAUUAAGAGCUUGCUCUUAUGAAGUUAGCGGCGGACGGGUGAGUAACACGUGGGUAACCUGCCCAUAAGACUGGGAUAACUCCGGGAAACCGGGGCUAAUACCGGAUAACAUUUUGAACCGCAUGGUUCGAAAUUGAAAGGCGGCUUCGGCUGUCACUUAUGGAUGGACCCGCGUCGCAUUAGCUAGUUGGUGAGGUAACGGCUCACCAAGGCAACGAUGCGUAGCCGACCGGAGAGGGUGAUCGGCAACACUGGGACUGAGACACGGCCCAGACUCCUACGGGAGGCAGAAGUAGGGAAUCUUCCGCAAUGGACGAAAGUCUGACGGAGCAACGCCGCGUGAGUGAUGAAGGCUUUCGGGUCGUAAAACUCUGUUGUUAGGGAAGAACAAGUGCUAGUUGAAUAAGCUGGCACCUUGACGGUACCUAACCAGAAAGCCACGGCUAACUACGUGCCAGCAGCCGCAGUAA
rnacentral:rRNA from 1 species